rnacentral:lncRNA from 1 species
CCCGAAGGCACAUUUCAAGGGGUUGAGCCUCAUCCUGUACCUUCUCAGGAUUUGGAAGGUGUUGUUGAGGUGCGAUACGUGGCUUUCUGCCUCUAAGCUUUUCACUAGCAUAUCAUCCACGUAGACCUCCAUUGUCUUGCCAAUGAGGUCGGCGAACAUUUUGUUCACGAGUCUUUGGUAAGUUGCUCCGGCAUUUUUCAACCCGAAAGGCAUCAUUCUAUAGCAAUAGAGGCCUCGAUCCGUGAUGAAAGAGGUGUGCUCCUCAUCAGCCGGGUGCAUGGGGAUCUGGUUGUAUCCGGAGUAUGCAUCCAUGAAGCUCAAUAACUCGUGCCCAGCCGUGGAGUCCACCAAUUGGUCAAUCCUUGGAAGCGGAAAGCUAUCUUUCGGGCAAGCUCUAUUAAGGUUGGUGAAGUCGAUGCACACUCGCCAUUUGCCAUUGGGUUUCUUAACCAAGACCGGGUUGGACACCCACUUCGGGUAGGUGGCCUCCCUGAUGAAGCCAUUUUGGAUUAGUUUCUGAACCUCUUCCUUCAGGGCCUCAUACCUCUCUGGGUUGAGGGCUCUCCUUUUUUGUCUAUGCGGGGUAAAAUUGGGGUCGAUUUUCAAGUGGUGACAGCUGACUUUGGGGUCUAUGCCAACCAUGUCCUCAUGUCUCCAGGCGAAGACGUCCAGGUUCUUGCCUAGAAAAUCUUUAAUCUUUUCUCUCAAAAUGUCGGAUAAGCCCCUGCCUACUUUCAGCACCUUGGACGGAUCUCGAGGGUCGGCUGAGAAGCUCUCAAGUUCCUCUACGGGGGAUGCUUGGGGCUCAUGUUCCAUUAUGCGGGGGUCGAUCUCAUCGAUCAGCGCCUCCUGAACGAGGAGUGCGUCAAUCAUAUCAACAUCUUCCUGGUCAGUGGGAGCGUCACCUGGGACAUCCGUCAUAACCACAUCAGCCACGAUCACAUGGACGUCUCGGGGCUCCACCUUCUUAAUGGAGCUCAGAUAGCACUCUCGCGAACCUCUCUGGUCGCCUCUCACCGUUGCCACCCCAUUUUCUGUUGGGAAUUUCAUGCAUAGGUGGUGGAUGGAGGUGACUGCUCCCAAUUCCUUUAGGGCCGGUCUGCCCAAGACCCCGUGGUAAGCCGACCGGCUGUCGACUACGAGGAACUCCAUAAAGUUCAUCGUAGUUUGAGGAGAUUCUCCCAUCUCCACUGCCAGUGUUAUCUUUCCUCUCGGAGUAAUGCUAUCUCCGGUAAAUCCGUACAAUGGAGUGGUGGUGGGUGUCAACUGAUGGUCCAAUAUCAUCUUGUCAAAGGCGGACCCGAAUAAGAUGUUGACGGAGCUGCCAUUGUCGACAAGCAUUCGUUUGAGCCCAUUUCGGGCUAUGACCGCCCUCACUACCAGCGCAUCGCAGUGGGGGUAAUGAACUCCUUCGGCGUCUUCCUGGGUGAAGACAAUGGGUGGUGCUUGGUUUCUUCGGGAGCUAUUAUCUACAAUGUAACUUGUCAGAGGGGGGUGCUUAGCCUCCCUAGCAUAGUUUCUUUUGGCGUUUCGCGUUUCACCGCCAACGUAAGGGCCUCCAAAUAUGGUAUCUAUCUCGUGGAUAGGGGCUUCAUCUUGAGCUUGCCUGUUCCUUCGGUGUCUACGCCCUUCCCUGGGCCUCUCCG